GAUGAAGAACGUAGCGAAAUGCGAUAAGUAAUGUGAAUUGCAGAAUCCAGUGAAUCAUCGAAUCUUUGAACGCACAUUGCGCCCUUUGGUAUUCCAAAGGGCAUGCCUGUUCGAGCGUCAUUUGUACCCUCAAGCUUUGCUUGGUGUUGGGCGUCUUGUCUCUAGCUUUGCUGGAGACUCGCCUUAAAGUAAUUGGCAGCCGGCCUACUGGUUUCGGAGCGCAGCACAAGUCGCACUCUCUAUCAGCAAAGGUCUAGCAUCCAUUAAGCCUUUUUUUCAACUUUUGACCUCGGAUCAGGUAGGGAUACCCGCUGAACUUAAGCAUAUCAAUAAGCGGAGGA
rnacentral:misc_RNA from 1 species